ACGAACCCAUAAUUGAACUUCCCGCUUUUCCCGCGCGCACGCGCUCCCCCAAUCAGCUGUUACGAGGUCAUUCCACCUGCCCCUGGAACUCCUGUCAGAUCCUGACAGCCUGCGGCUUUCUUCAAUACCCUUAGAAUGUGCUUGCAUUUCUUCAGUGGCUAUCCCGAGCCGCAUUAAAGGCUUCCUUUCUCUUUGUUUUCUCUCCUUUUCUGUCUCACUCGAGUUGAAGGACCAAAUCCUGGCGUCCAAAAAAGCCUAAGGUAGGCAAAAUGGCAGGAAACCACGAAAGGGACUAGAGAACUUGUGGCCUGGGAACUUAAAGAGUGUGCAGGUUGUAGUUGUUUUUUUCUGAAGACAGGAUUUUAUUGCAAUGCGGAACUGAGAAACAUUUGCCUGGGUCUCCAACCGGAAGCUGGCCGAUGCCGGUAUGUGUCCCUGGGCCUUCUGGGAUAUGUAGUUCCGGAGCCGGGAUAGACGGAGACGCUACCCUCCAGGAAGGGAGGCCGUACUACAACUUUUCGGUCCGGAAGAUGAGUACCCUUCGCUUCCACCAUCUUUCAGAGCCCUUUCAGCCUGCGGGUGGGAAGUCGCGGCCUCGGGCGCAGGCUGAGGAAAGCAGGCGGAAGCGCGGGUGCCGCGGCCUCCCCGCCCCGUGCUGCGCUGCUGCCCAUCCGCUCGGGACCUGCGCUCUGCUUUCCGGAUCCGUCAGGGGGCGGUGGAGCGCGCAGCCCUGGGCCGGCGGGAUUAGGACGAGGCCGACCGGGCCUGCCAAGGGCUCGCAGCGGGAGUGGCGCCCAGUAACAGGUGUUUGGGCUGCCGGCUGUGAUGCUCUCACCAGCGCCCCUUGCAGGGCAGCCCUGGAAGAGCAGGAGGUCGGCCCCGGGCCUUUCCGCCGUCCUGCGGGCAGAGGCUGAGCGGGGCGCCGCGCACUCACCGCGCGCCCUCUUCACCCAGCCGGGACGGGAGCCGGCUUCUUCCAGGCUCGCCCUGUGCCCUCCUGUGCCUUCCUGCUGGUCCUGUCAUCUUUUCGGUUAAUCAGGUUUCCCUCGCCGUGCGUCACCACGAAGAAUAUGAUCGCGUCUGUGUUGAGUAAAUGAAAAUGGGUAGGAGAGAGACUCGGAAGUGAAACUGUUAAUAGCAUCUUGUCCCUUUGAUUUCUGCGCAUUCUUCUAUCAACUGUGUCGAUCAAGGAAGUAGUUGUUGUUAUCUUUAUUUUAAGGAUGAGGAAAAUGAGACAGAAGGUGCUUUGUUGUCGCAAAGUCAUUAAACUUAAUAUUACCAGCUGGCUGUGUAGCUGAGCCGGGUUCUUAACCCCAGCGAUACGGGGACCUGCAGUUAUCCUACCAGUGAUCCAUCCCCCGAGGGGCUUCGUUUGAAGGUGCAGUCGUUGGGAAGUUUCCUGUGGAAGACUUUGAAAACUACACUGAAUUUUUAAAAAUCCUAAAACAUCUCAUUUACUUAUUGAUUGCGUGUCAAAUAAAGUCGCAUGCGGGUUAUAUCAAUACCGAAUGCCCAUGUAGAGGUGCUCUUCCAACCUAGUGCCUUAGGGCUUACACCUUAUUAACGCUGGAACCCAGGCUGGUCCCAUUGAGAUGCCCUGUUAGGCGUGAAGUAAACAUUGGAUUUUAAGAUGAGUCAUCACCAGCCUGGGCUACAAAGGGAGCUCAAGGCCAGCCUGAACUGUAUAGAGACAUUGUCUCAAAAAAAAAAAAAAAAAAAAAAAAAAAGAUGGGACACCAAUGAUUUUUCAGUAUUGAUUACAUGUUGAAAUGAUAUUUUGCAUAAAGUACACUGCUAAAUAAAUAUCAACAUAUUGCUAAAUAAAAUAGUGCUAAAAUUAACUUCACCUUUUGUAUUUUGUUUCUUUUUUGCCUUUUCCUAUUGUCCCUACUAAAAGAUCUACCUUUCCUUCUCUGGUUAGGUACAUUUUUAUUGGACAGACGUAGAUAACACACAUAAAUAAAGAAAAAUUAGAUAACUAUUGGUUAGUGUUCGUUGUGUAUGUAUUUAUGGAUGUUUCUCAAAAUUGGCAAGGUAGUUAGUAGUUCCUUUCCCUUAUUAUGUAAAUUUCUGAGCAUGUAUAGACUGUACAGAGUGUAGUGGAUUUUCAUGUCGGCGAGACUUAAUUUCAACCUGUCUCCUUCCCAUUUGUUUGAGAUACAGCUUUGUUAUCUAGCCUGGUCUCCAACUCAGAGGCUCAAGCACCUUCCUGGCUCAGCUUCCCAAGUAGCUGGGACUACUCCCAGUGUACCUAAAAUAGAGUAUUUUAAAAGAUAUCACAUAUUUAUCAUGUAGGUUUCAUUAAAUUGUACCAUAAUCUGUAAAACAGAAGCUUGCUUUUGACAUCAGUUCAGUGUAUGUUUUUCCAUCUUUUUGCUUUCAAACUUUUUGUCACUAGGUUUUAGUAGUAUCUGUUAGAAUAUCGUUGGAUUUUUUUCUUUCCACGUAGUAAGAGGCAUUUAAUCUGCAUUUAUUUGGUAUACUUUGCAUUGCUUCCUUUUCUUCUUUUUUUCAAUUAAAUUUAUUCUCCCUUGUUCUCCUCAGUGGCUUUAAACCAAUAUACUCUUUGAUCAUUCUUUUAACUUUUAAACAUCAUCUGUCUUAGAAAAUGGUUGCAUAUAUUAUCAUUCUGGAAAAUAUAGAAACUGCCCACAGCUACUGAUCUGCAGCUGCUGUCAAUCGUAGCAGCUGUGGCAUUCCGCUGUGGGAAAGGAAGUGUUAUCCAAGAAGAAAGUGCAUGUGUGUGACAGACAGUGUAAAAAAAAAAAAAAUAUAUAUAUAUAUAUACACUAAAAACCCUUAAAAUUUGGUAACAUGUUUUUUUCUUGGUUUGUUUUUAAUCUUAGGGUAGGUUAUAAGUCUGCUUUUUAAUACAAUCGUCCUCAAAGUUAUACAUUAUUGUUCUUGGUUUAUUUCUAUUUAACAAAGAUUCUGUUGCUAACAUAUUUAUAAAUAUUUUCUUAUUACCUCAUGCACACUGGAUGUGGUGGUGUACACCUGUAAUCCUAGCACCUGGGAGGCUGAAGCAGCUGUCAGAGAAGGGGGCUCUGGCUCUCGGAAUUUCCCAUCUACUCAUUAAAUCCUUGGAGCCACCUGUGAGGGGGCCGUGACAUUCAAGGACGAGGCUGUGGUCCUCACCACUGAAGAACAGGGGCUGCUGGACGGCACACAGAGGGAACUGUGUGAGGGUGUAAUGGUGGAGAAUUUAAGAACCUGGUUGCAGUGGAGCAUCUUCCCUUCCAACCAGACUUGGUAUCCCAGCUGGAGGCAGAAGAGAAGCUUUGGAGGAUGGAAACAGAAGCCCAGAGAAGUAGGUUUUCUGGUGCAAGCCGUGCACCUGUUCUUUCAGGUAGCGUGAGUCAAAAUGACAUUGAGACUCUUGGAUAAUUUGCACUGAGAUACCUUUCAGAUGACGAGCUGUCCUGCUGGCAGACCUGGAAACCUGUGGCAAGUGAGUUAACCAGGUGUCUUCACAGGACAAAUUCCCGGUUAGUACAAGGUGCUGGCCUUCACAGUCUUGAAAAUGAGAACAAUGUCAAGUAUCACAAAGGAGAUAGCUUCAGGUCCAUUGAGAACCAAGAGGUUUCCAUUGCAGGAACGCAGGAUUCUUCCCAAGUGUCUGACUGAGGCACAGAAUCAAAGCAGGGGUGAGCAAGGAGAUGUGGAUUGUGGUCAGUGUGUAUUUGAAGACAUGGUGAAGAAAUCGUCCUGUGCACAGAUGAAAACGCACCCAGCGCAGAGACGCUGCCAUGAUAAUGAAGGUGGCAGAAGCAUCCGUGUGGGCUCCAGUCAGCGGUUCCCUUCAGGAGAGGACCUCAUCCAUGUCGUGAGUGUGCACGGGGCUCCAGUCACAGCUCAGGGCUUCCUCAGAGCGUUCAUGCAAGCGCAAGACACCUCAGUCCAGGCUCACAUCUGCGGUCUCAUCCGAGAAUUCACCCAGCAGAGAAGCUGAGAAACGGACCUGAGCCUGGGAUCUGCGUCGGGAGCAGCCCUGAGCUGUCUCAUCAGUCUGCUCGUACAGGCGAGAAGCCCUACAGAUGUGACAGUCGUGCAAGGGAUUCGCUAGCAGCACAGGCCUCAUUCAUUACAGAACUCACCCUGGAGAGGAACCUUGCCAAUGUGAGGAGUGCAGCAAAUGCUUUAGUCAGAGUUCAGAUUCCCGGUGCCAUCAGAGGGGCCACACUGAAGGAAAACCUACACAUGUGGGGAGUGUGGGAAGGGCUUUGGAUGGAGAGUUACCCUGCGUGUCCUUCAGAGGGUCCAUGGGGGGAAAAGCCUUAUAAAUGUGAGGAUUCUGGGAAGGCCUUCAGUCUCCCCUCAAAUCUUCGAGCCCAUUUGAAUGUUCACACUAGGGAGAAACUGUGUAAAUAUGAGGAGUAUGGGAAAGGCUUCAGUCAGAGGACACGUAUUCAAGCCCACCAGAGCAUCCACACUGGGGAAAACCAUACAGAUGUGAUGUAUGUGGUAAGGACUUCAGUCACCGUUCCUGUCUUACAUCCCAUCAGAAAGUCCACAGCAGGAGAAAACUCUAGAAAGGAGAAAUUUAUUGAUGAUUUUUGUCAGAAGACACAUCUUCCAAGUUUUUGGGAAGUCCAUGCUGAUGAUAAACUUUGUAAAAAUAUUGAGAGUGGAAUUUAAGGUUCAGAAGCUGACAUCUUUUAAAAUAAUCACAAAUAGGAUUGUAAGUUAUAAUUAAGGAAGUAGAGAUUGUAGUCCUCGUAGCAAUAUAUAUUUAAUAUAAAUGACCUUUCAGUGUGAGUUUGCUGAAAGAUAAUGUGUAAAAGAUAAUUUCUGAUACGCUAACUAGUUAUUUUAAUUUUUGGCCAGGAGAUUGUGGAUUAUUCUUUUUUUGUGUGUGGAUUGUUCUUUUAACUUUCUUUUUAUACUUAACAAUGGUCAUUUUUUUUGCUAGGGUUAUUUCCAAAAGAUGAAAAGUAUUAACAAAAGAUGAGAAAUAUAAAAUAAAAAGCGGCCUUUAUUCUGAGAACACGGAGAUACAUGACCGGCACCCCCACAGCUGGCUUCCAGCAAUCUCUCAGGUGGACACAUGGUGUGGGGGCCUGUAAAUAGCCUCGGUUUGGAGUGGAACCUAAGGCGGGCAUUAGGGAUGCACAGGUAGCCCAUUGGUCCUAGGUUUGGCGCCAUAUGUAAAUUUCCAGGGGCGGGAAGAAGGCGUCACAGGUAACUUCCUAGGGGCUGGCGAGAUUGGGGCUUCUUGCUUCUGGCUGUGGCUUUCCUGGCUACAGUGUCCUAUCUGGGCCAAAACCCUUUCAAUUUUCAUUGAAGCUGUAAAGCUAUGAAAACUGAAUAAAAUUACUGACUUAAACUA